UGUUGUUGUUAUUAUUAUUCACAAAAAUAAAAUAAUAAAACAAAAUAGAUGUACGAGUUCAACAUCACGAAAAGUUCAAAAAUAUACUUAACCUGGUGAAAACCACAGAUAUGGUCAUCUUCUGAUGAGUUUUUAGUAAUAGCAGAUCAUUUCAGUGCUUCACAGUGUGAAUGUUUUCCACAAAAUAAAUCCUUGCACAUACUAUAUACUUACACUCAUUACAACAACGACGGAGUGAUCGACGCAGAGCCGUAGGUGGUGUUACAA